rnacentral:misc_RNA from 1 species
GAAAUGCGAUAAGUAGUGUGAAUUGCAGAAUUCAGUGAAUCAUCGAAUCUUUGAACGCACAUUGCGCCCCUUGGUAUUCCAUGGGGCAUGCCUGUUCGAGCGUCAUUUGUACCCUCAAGCUCUGCUUGGUGUUGGGUGUUUGUCCCGUCUCCGCGCGUGGACUCGCCCCAAAGUGAUUGGCAGCCGGCGUACUGGUCCCGGAGCGCAGCACAUGUCGCGCAAACGAGUGCCUUGGUACGACGGCGUCCAUAAGCCCCUCUCUCACGCUCUUGACCUCGGAUCAGGUAGGGAUACCCGCUGAACUUAAGC